rnacentral:rRNA from 1 species
UCUAAUAUUUUGGAUGUAAGGCAGGAGUAGUAUAUACUCAUCUAGUGGACUAUAACGUACAUUAAAUGGUAUCCUAUGUAUACAUUUAGGGGUAUUUAAGUGUUAUUAUAAUAAGAUUCUUAAAUUAUAACAAUGGAAAUCUAAGGCUUAAUUAAAUCUUUAUUUUAGUUGUGAGCUUAAAGUUUUAUUCUUUCUUGAGCUUUUAUGAGGCUAUAAAAUUUGUAUGAAUAUUAAAAUAAGUAAAAAAAUAAAUCUUAUAUAGGGUUUAAUAAAAAUAAAAAUUAUAAUUUAUAAUAAAUAAAAUCUCAGCAUAAAUUAUUAGACAAUAUAUGUAAGUAUGAUCUGGUAAUAGUUAGAAGUCCGAUUAAAUAUUGUGCCAGCAGUCGCGGUUAAACUUUAGGAUUGAGUAAAAAUUAUUGGUUUACUAGUUAAGGGAGGAUUAUUAUAAAUUUAAAAAAAUAAAAAGUGAAAUUAGAUUAUUUUUUAUAAAAUAAAUUAAUUUAAACUGAAGCUAGAAAAUUUCUAGGCUUAAACUAGGAUUAGAUACCCUAUUAUACUGGAGUUUAAUAGUAUAACUUGAACAUUAAUAGUUAUAAUCUAAAAAUUUGAAGAAUUUGGCGGUGGUUUAGUCUUGUCAGAGGAACCUGUUUUAUAAUCGAUACACCACGAGAAUCUUACUUAUUUUUGUUAUAACAGUUUGUAUACCAUCAUUAUCAGAUAAUUUUUAAAGAAAUAUUAUUGAUAUUUAAAUUAUAAUUGAAAUUAGAUCAAGGUGCAGCCAAUAAAUAAGUUCAAAUGGGUUACAAUAAUUUUAAAUUAUAUAGAAUAAUUUUUUAAAUAUAAUUAAGAAAGCGGAUUUGAUUGUAAUAAAAGCUUAAUAUGCUUGAAAGAUAAAAGCUCUAAACCAUGUACAUAUCGCCCGUCGCUUUCAUUCAGAGAUGAAAUAAGUCGUAACAUAGUAGGCUCACUGGAAAGUAAGUCUGGAUUAAU